GAUGAAGAACGCAGCGAAAUGCGAUAAGUAAUGUGAAUUGCAGAAUUCAGUGAAUCAUCGAAUCUUUGAACGCACAUUGCGCUUCCUGGCACUCCGGGGAGCAUGCCCGUUUCAGAAUCAUAAGAAUCUCGCAGAUCUUGGGGGGGUCGCUUUUGGGCCGCCCCGCCAAGAGACGCGGAUCUGGACGUCUUGCGCACCAGUGUGCAAACGUCUGAAAGUGAUUGUAUGCAUCCCAUUGCGCCGUCCGAUGCCCUUCCAGUGCAACAGAUUAGUUUCUUACCCACCGAGAGAGCAUCGGCCGCGGCCAGUGGACAUGGAUACCCAAACCAACCGAUUGCGGGACGAGCUUCUGCCGUGGUAGAAGCUUGCUCUCCCAAAACACUUGGUCUGAAAUCGGGCAAGAAAACCCGCUGAACUUAAGCAUAUCAAUAAGCGGAGGA
rnacentral:misc_RNA from 1 species